AACGUACGCUGGCGGCACGCCUAACACAUGCAAGUCGAACGAAGUAGCAAUACUUAGUGGCAGACGGGUGAGUAACAUGUGGGUAUCUACCCUUUGGCCUGGAAUAACACGAGGAAACUUGUGCUAAUACCGGAUAAGUCUUUACGGAGAAAGCUUUAUGCACCAUUGGAUGAGCCCGCACUUGAUUAGUUUGUUGGUAGGGUAAUGGCCUACCAAGA
rnacentral:rRNA from 1 species